rnacentral:misc_RNA from 1 species
GGUCGCGAACUGGUAGCAAACGUUUGGACACAAGUUAAAUGCAAAUAUAAAGUCGCACGCCAAAACUUAAAAGUUAAAUUUGUAAUAAUAUUAAGUAGGUAGAACUGCAUGCCUAAACUACAAUCCAUCAUACACAAUGACGAGUGACGACAAGAGUUACGACUCCAGUGACAACAGCGAGGCCGAGGAGCGACACGCCAAGCAUAAAAAGUCUAAAAAGCAUAAGAAACACAAAAAGUCGAGCAGCAGUGAAAAGGUGCACAAAAAGCACAAGAAAUCGAAAAAGCGCCAUCAGCGUCACAGCGAAUCUUCAAAUGCAUCCGAGAAGCAGCAGCUCAUACGAAACAAUGCAGUGACUCAAGGUCUGAGUAGCAAAUUUACUGAGUUGAUGCAAGCCAGUCGCGAGCGUAGCUCAAAACUGACGCCCAAUGGCGCCGACUUUCGUAUUGUCAAACCAAAUACAGACCCAUGCAGCUUGGUUGAAGAGAUUACCAAGACCAUACAGAACAAGGUGCGGCCUGUACUUGAAGUGGCCACAUCUGGUAGUGAGAGUGAUGUCCCCAUUGACAUAGCCAGUCCUGUGUUGAUGCCAGAUAAGCUCGAGGAUGAGCUAAAUUUGGAGGAGCUAAUGCGACAAAAGGCACUUCUGCAAGCACGCCUGGGUGCCUACAUGUCUGACACUGAAGGCGAUGAGACUCGUUCCAAUUCUUUGCAGCUCAAGCGUCCACUGCAGCAACCCCAGCAGCCACAGCAACCCGCAGUUGCAUCUAUCGAGGCGCCGAAGCGUAGGCCGAACUCGCAGUCUGCACUGCAGCUGGCAACUGCAACUAGUAAACAUGCUAAUAAUAAACAGUCUAACAUCAAUAACUCAAACGAACCCGAUGUUAUAUUAUUGGAUGAUUCUAGCGGUAGUCAGCGUACGCCCUCGCCCACACCAGAGAAGCGAAGACGACAAUCAUCGCCCAUCCCACAAAGAAGUCGGCCACAGCAGCAGCGAGACUCGCGUGAUCGUCGUUCGAUCCGAGAUCAACGAAGUCGCACGCCUCGCCGACGCAGUGAGCAACAGCUACAGCAGCAGCAGAGACGUCAUCACCAAGAGUACAACAGGAACAUGGAGGAUCUGCGACAGGAGAUCAAUCGUGACAAGCAGCGAGAGCGACGCGAACAAAGUCGAGAUCGUGAAAGGCGACCAGAGAGAGAUAAUCGACAGCAGCAGUCAGAGCGUGGAGGUAGGCAGCGCGAGCGCGAACGAGAGCGUGAUCGGGAUCGCGAUCGCGAUCGCUGGCAACGUCCACGUUCGCAUAGUCGUAGUAAGUUUGAGUCAGAUAGAAGGCGUGAGCGUGAGCGUCAGCUGGAGCAGGAUCGGGGCGGUGAACGUGGCACAGGAUCUGGACGUGGAGCACGCUCUGGCAAUGGUGUGGGCGCCACCGAUCGCGAUCGCUAUAAAGGCUCUUUAAGCGAGGGGCAGAAAAUGCACGAAAAGGAGAGCAGCGACGAGGAAUCCAGUCUUGACAUAGAUAUCAACGAGGACGAGGAUGAUGAGGAGCGUAUCAUUGAGAUGCGUCGCAAGCAACGUGAGGAGCUUGUCAAGAAACUGGUUACCACUGAGGGGAAAUCGCGUACAACCAGCCCGACGCCUCGCAAGUCGAAUUCAUAUGAAUCGAGAAGCAUUUCACCCGUCUCCUCGAAACCCGAGCAGAUGCAGCAUUCGCCAACGAUUGAAAAAGAAGAGCAGCCGCCUGCUAAGCCCGAAGCGUUCGAUGCAAAUGCUUCGAAGAACAGCACAGUUAAAGAGAAACGCAACGAAUGGGACAUGUUUGCCGAUCAGGAUGUUGAUUCAAAUUUCGAUUCCCCCAGUACGAUAGUGCACAGUAAGCAUCAAAUUGAGAAUCCUGCUCUAACUGACAAUUGGGACGAUGCGGAGGGUUAUUAUCGUGUGCGCAUUGGUGAGGUACUGGACAAUCGCUACCUCGUCAGUGGCUACACAGGACAAGGCGUGUUCAGCAAUGUGGUGCGCAGCAGGGAUCAGGCGCGUGGCUCGGCCAAUGUAGCUAUCAAAAUUAUACGCAACAACGAGAUCAUGCAUAAGACAGGUCUACGUGAGCUGGAAAUCCUUAAAAAACUCAACGAUGCGGAUCCUGAUGAUCGUUUCCAUUGCCUUCGUUUAUAUCGGCACUUUUUCCACAAGCAGCAUCUUUGCAUGGUAUUUGAGCCGCUGGCCAUGAAUCUGCGCGAGGUGCUCAAGAAAUAUGGCAAAAAUGUGGGUCUUCACAUAAAAGCGGUGCGCAGCUAUACUCAGCAACUGUUCCUCGCUCUUAAGCUGCUGAAGAAGACGGGCAUACUGCAUGCGGAUAUCAAGCCCGAUAAUAUUCUAGUUAAUGAGAAUAAUUUGAUAUUGAAGCUGUGCGAUUUUGGCUCUGCAUCGGCCAUCAGUGAGAAUGAAAUAACGCCUUACUUGGUAUCACGUUUCUAUCGAGCACCUGAAAUAAUAUUGGGUAUACCCUAUGACUAUGGCAUUGAUACGUGGUCAGCUGGUUGCACUAUCUACGAACUAUAUACGGGCAAGAUAUUGUUCAGUGGCAAGAGCAACAAUCAGAUGCUUAAAUUCUUUAUGGAUGUAAAGGGCAAGAUACCCAAUCGCAUCAUACGCAAGGGACAAUUCAGAGAACAGCAUUUUGAUCAAAGCUGCAAUUUCCUUUAUCACGAAAUAGACAAAUUAACAGAGAGGGAAAAGAUCGUCGUGAUGCCUGUGGUGAAGCCUACCCGCAAUUUGCAACAGGAGCUAAUCGCUGAUCAGAACUUACCCGAUGAUCAGCAUCGCAAGGUGACACAGCUCAAAGAUCUGCUGGAGAAUAUGUUUGCCUUGGAUCCGGGCAAACGUAUAUCGCUAAAUCAGGCACUCACACAUCCCUUUAUACAGGAGAAAAUGUAGCUCCAAACCGCACAGAGAGCGACACAAUAAACUGGACCUCUGCUGAUCUAUAAAGAAAUGGAAUCGAGCUGCGCAACUGCUAAUUCGGCCGAAAUUGUGGAAACUGCGCGUCUUGAAACUUUGACACAAUUCCACGUCCGGGCGUCAACGAGGAGGCGAGGAUUCCUCUUGCGAGCAAGCCACAGGAUAUUUUGGCAAUUGGCAUUACCA